GAAGCGACCCCCGUGGCCCGGGCACCUACCACGUGGGGCGCAGCGGCGGCGGCGGCUGGGUCCCCCCGGGCCCGCAUGGCCACGCGCUCGGGCAGCCGCCCCGCCCUCGGAGCCUCCGGCGCUCCACCACCCACGUCGGCCUGCGGCGCGUGCGCCGACGGCUCCCCGAGAGGCGGGGCCCGAGGCCGGGGCGCAUCCUAUUGGUGCGGAGAGCCAUCGAUCGGCGGGGAGUAGAGGGGAGCGGCCUAGAGAGGCCGGAAGCCCGAGGGCUCUCAGCUCUCCCUUGGAGCACCGACUCCCAGCUCAGCCGUUCUCUCGGAGCGACCCCACCCCUACUGGGCGGAGGAGCCAAGUGCUGUCACGAGGAGGACCACUGGAGUCCCACAGAGACCCGAAAUCCUGUCCCGCGACAGUGCACGGGGAGACUGCAGCUGAGCACCACUGAGCACCUGGCCCGUAAAGCAGGCAAGAAACGUUUCCUGGGGUAACUAAUGCGUGGAAGCCGUCGUUCUAAGACGGACCAGGCCAUCAGGAGCUCUGGAGAGGGAGAUUCCCAUUAGCUAAGCAUCUCCUGUGUGCCAGGCACGAUCUCAUGACUUUCCGGCACACACGGCGGACCUGAAGCCAGAGUCUGGACUCCGUCACUGGCCUGGCUGCAGGAAGUAAUGAGGUUCCCAUCAGGCUUCAUUCAAGGAACAGCUGAGCAAACAUCGGGAGUGGAUGUGAUGCAGGCAUCUGAGUAUCCCAUGGAAUGCCUGUCUCUUGGCCUGGGCACCCAGAAAGCAGAGCCUCAGCCUGGGCCUGUUCAGUGAGGGUUUUUGUCCCCAGGAAGCUGGGAGCUAGGGAGUGAGGCAGGGAAGGUCAGGGAGCCAGGACCAGUGUGCUCUGUUGUUGGCGCCCCCAUUGUGGGCUGCUGGACCUGGACCCUGAACCCUCCCAGAGCUCUGGAGAACUGUCCACUGGAGCAUGAAGGGGAGAAGACUUAACCCUUGGUCUUGCCGUCUGGGGUUGCCCUUUGGGUAGCAUCUACUCCCCUCACUUCUGGACAGUGGUGCAGGGUCCCACAGGUAUCCCCUGAGGUGCCUAGCAUGCGGCAGGCCAGGUGAGGGCUGCCCAGAACUGAGUGCCCUGGGUCUGGCUAGAACCAGAGACAGCACCCAGAGGACAGCAAGGGUUGAGCGAGAGGCGAGAGGAAGUGACACAGGUUGGAAAGGCAGAAGGAAACUUAAAACAGGGCCUCUGCCUGCCACCAGCAAUGGCUCCGGAGUGAUUUCAGCCGUCUGCUCUCCAGGUGCUGGGUAACCCACAGGUGGGUGGCAGGUGCCGGUGGGAGACGUGUGGAUGGCGCGGUGUCAGUGCUCAAGCACCCUGAGGCCAGGGCUCAGACAGCAUCUGGCGAAAGGCCAGGCGGGGCCAGUUAGAUGUCUUCCUCCUGUGUUUUAACAGGAGGAUGUCCUCUGUGGGAGGAAGCCAGAGGUCUCAGGGGGGGCUUGAGGCUUUGAGUGAGGCCUCAGUGGCAAAGCUGGGGGCCUGGCAGGGGGUUAGCCAGGAGCCUCCCCCAGCCCCCUCAGCACCUGUCCCUGGUAGCUCGCCUGGAUGAAGGCUGCCCAGGCUCCGACACCCAUCAAGUCCUCCACGGCUAGAACGAAGCUCCGGGCACUACUGCAAAGUUCUUCAACCGCAGCUGUGCUGCCCAUGGGAGAGGGCGUGUUCACGUAGUGGCCAGGCAUGUGGAGCGAAGCCAGGGUUUGGGGCCACACCGGCACUCUUUCUGGGUUCUGCUCCUUCCUGGCCGGAUGCCCUGGGCAUGUCUCAGCCAUGGCACCUGUGUGAGCCCCCUCUUCUCAUCGCCUUGCUCUCGUCCACGCUGUGUGGGAAGGCACAGUGUAGGCCGUGGUCUCAGGCUCGGAGAGCCGAUGUCUGCCCUGUGCACCUGCUGUGCCUCUGGGGGUCCCACAGCAGGAGCCAGCCCCGGAGACUCCCGGGCAGUCACAGAACCCCCACCUGUGGGACCCCACUGGCAGGACCUCCUGCCAAGCAUGAUGCCCUCCGUGCCCCCCCCACUGCUUCCCACCACAGCCCUCCUCCGAUGCAGCUCAUCCGUCGGCCGAAGGACCUACACUUCUCUGUGUCUCCUGCUUCCUGGCCCUCCGCCAUGUAGCCCCUUCCCUGCCGCUGCGUGAGAUGGUCCCGCCAGCUCCACCACGAGCUGCUCCCACCCUGAUCUACUUCCUUCCCACCCCGAAGCUGAUGCCCACGCCUCAUUCGAAGCUGACCUUGGUAUCCCCGCCCUGUGUCCUCCGCCAGUGCCCUGUGGCCCCUGAAUGGACAGCACGUCCUAACACAUCACAGAGCCCUCCUUUCAUUUCUGGGCACCGUAGGCUGCUGGGGAGGGGACAGGUCUCUGGCUUCCAGUCCCUCGUGUGUCCAGUGACAGCAGCCUGCAGAUGCCCUAAACUCAAGGACCAGAUGGUCCCUAACACUCAUAUGGGCAAGGAUGGAGCCUUCACUCAUAAUCUCUAAUGCACUUACCAGGCGAGAGUCUGUUCUUCCUGCACAAAAAAGUAUUAAAAGGUACUUUUCAAAGAAGUAAAA